rnacentral:rRNA from 1 species
UAAUACCGCAUACGAUCUAUGGAUGAAAGCGGGGGAUCGCAAGACCUCGCGCGAUUGGAGCGGCCGAUAUCAGAUUAGCUAGUUGGUGGGGUAAAGGCCCACCAAGGCGACGAUCUGUAGCUGGUCUGAGAGGACGACCAGCCACACUGGAACUGAGACACGGUCCAGACUCCUACGGGAGGCAGCAGUGGGGAAUUUUGGACAAUGGGCGCAAGCCUGAUCCAGCAAUGCCGCGUGCAGGAUGAAGGCCUUCGGGUUGUAAACUGCUUUUGUACGGAACGAAAAGGUCUGCCCUAAUACGGCGGGCUCAUGACGGUACCGUAAGAAUAAGCACCGGCUAACUACGUGCCAGCAGCCGCGGUAAUACGUAGGGUGCGAGCGUUAAUCGGAAUUACUGGGCGUAAAGCGUGCGCAGGCGGUUAUAUAAGACAGAUGUGAAAUCCCCGGGCUCAACCUGGGACCUGCAUUUGUGACUGUAUAGCUAGAGUACGGUAGAGGGGGAUGGAAUUCCGCGUGUAGCAGUGAAA